rnacentral:lncRNA from 1 species
CUAUCUGGCCUCGAGAGCCCAGGCACGUCCAAAUUCAGAAUCAAAAGAUCAGACUCAAAGUCAAGUCUAGAUUAGCACCAAAAAUCUACUAUAUGACACAUUGAUUCUUUAAAAUCCCCUUCUAAUUACACAUUCCCUUUUAACUACAAUAACUUAACAACAUGAUCUAAAAGUAACCUAUCAGCUUUAGCACAUGGUAAUCAUUCAUCAUAUAAACCCAAAUUCAACGAUUUAAACAAGGAAACUAGCUUGAAACUUCAAUGGAAUAGUGACCAUUGACAACUUGAAACAAAAAACUUUUUCCAAUGAAGGAAAAGAAAAUUGAACAAAAAACUCCAUAUCACUCCCUAUGAAUUCUCAGAAUAACCAGAAAUUGUGUCCAGCAUUAGAAACUCCAAAAAUUGGCUAUGAAAUGAAAAAGAUCCAAACGAACAGUACCCAAAACUCUUAGCUGUUUCUUUUUCUGAUUUUCAUUACUAUCAAAAUCUCUAUUAUAUUUCAAAAUUGAAGGAAAAGAGACAAAACACUCGAAUGCUAUCAAAUAGUGCUUUUUUUGGAUUUCCAACCUUUUGGAUUACUC